ACUAACAGGAUUCCCCUAGUAACUGCGAGUGAAGCGGGAAAAGCUCAAAUUUAAAAUCUAAUGGUCCUUGGCCAUUCGAGUUGUAAUUUAGAGAAGCGUCUUCCGCGCCAGACCAUGUACAAGUCUCCUGGAACGGAGCGUCAUAGAGGGUGAGAAUCCCGUCUUUGACAUGGACCCUUGGUGCUUCUGUGAUGCGCUCUCAAAGAGUCGAGUUGUUUGGGAAUGCAGCUCAAAAUGGGUGGUGAACUCCAUCUAAGGCUAAAUAUUGGCGAGAGACCGAUAGCGAACAAGUACCGUGAGGGAAAGAUGAAAAGCACUUUGGAAAGAGAGUGAAACAGUACGUGAAAUUGUUGAAAGGGAAACACUUGAAGUCAGUCGCGUCGAUCGAGACUCAGCCUUGCCUYGGCUUGGCGUACUUCUCGACUUGACGGGCCAGCAUCAAUUUCAUCCCUCGGAUAAUGGCAGGGGAAAGGUGGCACCUUCACCGGUGUGUUAUAGUCUCUUGUCGCAUGCGAGGGGUGGGAUUGAGGAACUCAGCACGCACCUCACGGUGUCGGGGCUUCGGCCCACGUUACGUGCUCAGGAUGCCGGCGUAAUGGCUUUAAAUGACCCGUCUUGAAACACGGACCAAGGAGUCUAACAUGCCUGCGAGUGUUCGGGUGGAAAACCCGUGUGCGUAAUGAAAGUAAAAGUUGGGACCUCUGUCGUGGAGGGCACCGACGCCCGGACCAGACCUUCUGUGACGGAUCUGCGGUAGAGCAUGCAUGUUGGGACCCGAAAGAUGGUGAACUAUGCCUGAAUAGGGUGAAGCCAGAGGAAACUCUGGUGGAGGCUCGUAGCGAUUCUGACGUGCAAAUCGAUCGUCAAAUUUGGGUAUAGGGGCGAAAGACUAAUCGAACC
rnacentral:rRNA from 2 species